UCACAAUAUCCAUACUAAUAUUUAUGAGUUGAAAUAGAAAAAAAAACAAGUUGUGGCAUAAUGAGUGUAAAUGAGACAAAUCUCAAUCAAAGUCACUGUAAGGGCUUUUCAUCUAUUACAUCUAUUAAUUGACUCCUUCUAUGGAGUUUUCAUUCUUCUCGAAAAAAAUAAAUAAAGUUGUGUAACGUGUAACCGGGCGGGGACGUUUUAAAAAGAUAUUUUAAUCCUCGGGUUCGUAACAGUUUCCUGGGAUUUCAAAAUCAAUUCAAAAGUUCUAAAGGCAAUAAAAAGUUUACACUAUCACAAUCAAAUAUGAAACAAAUACUAUACUACAUAAAACGAAUUUUAACACCUAUCAACCAAACCCGAACCCGAAUUAAAACUGUUUAAAACCCUUUCA
rnacentral:lncRNA from 1 species